rnacentral:tRNA from 1 species
GGUCUCAUGGUGUAAUGGUUAGCACUCUGGACUCUGAAUCCAGCGAUCUUAGUUCAAAUCUCGGUGAGACCU